rnacentral:lncRNA from 1 species
AUGCUGCCAGUCUCAGCGAGGCUCCUCCCGACUUCUCCGCGGCUGCCCUGCUCGGGCCGCGCAGCACCUGGACUCGGGGCGGCCGCGGCCCGCACCUGGGGACCGGACCACGUGCAGCCCGGGGCCUGCUGGGCUCCCGGGGAAGGACGCCACGGGCCCCACUCGCUGGGGGCGGGCCCCUCUCCACGGCGCUGUGGCUGGCCCGGUGGCCAGGGCCGGCGGGGGCGCCGCAGCCCCCCCAACCCCGCGGCCUCCCUGCGUCCACCGCCUCCCCGGCCUCCUCGCGGCCUCCCGGCGUCCACAUCCUCCCACGGCCCCCCCCCCCUCGCAUCCUCCCUGCAAACUCCCUGCCUCCAUGUCCUCCCCGCGGGCCUCCCCGCAUCCUCCCCACAUCUGUCCUCCCCGCAUCCACGUCCUCCCUGUGUCCACAUCCUCCCCACAUCCUCCCUGCGUCCGCGGCCUCCCCACGGCCUCCCGCGGGCUCCCCCUGUCCUCCCUGUGGCCUCCCCAUCUCCACGCCCUCCCCCCACACCGCCCCACCCCGCAUCCUCCCCACAUCUGUCCUCCCCGCGUCCUCCCCGCAUCCACGUCCUCCCUGUGUCCACAUCCUCCCCGCAUCCUCCCUGCAUCUCCCCGCGUCCACGUCCUCCCUGUGUCCACAUCCUCCCCACAUCUAUGUCCUCCCUGCAUCCUCCCCGCAUCCACGUCCUCCCUGUGUCCACAUCCUCCCCACAUCCUCCCUGCGUCCACGUCCUCCCUGCGGCCUCCCCGCGGCCUCCCCACGGCCUCCCGCGGGCUCCCCAUCUCCACGCCCCCCCCACACCGCCCGACCCCGGCCUCCCCUUGGCCUUCCCUUGGCCUCCCCACGUCCACCCCGCGUCCGCGUCCUCCCCGGGGCCACGUGCCCCUCGUCUCCAGCGUUGCUCCCCCCGCGCCGGCGCUCAUCUCCCUCAUCCUGACGGGCGGCUCUCCACUUGCUCCUGGACCAGGGCGACGCGUCCUAAUGGCUCUUCCUGCCUCAGGUCUUGA